CAAGUCGAACGAUGAUAUCACUGCUUGCAGUGAUUGAUUAGUGGCGAACGGGUGAGUAACACGUGAGGAACUUGCCCAUGAGCGGGGGACAACAUUCGGAAACGGAUGCUAAUACCCCAUAGGUGGAUUGGUCGCAUGACGAAUUCAUUAAAGGUGGCUUUGCUACCACUCAUGGAUAGCCUCGCGGCGUAUUAGCUAGUUGGUAAGGUAAUGGCUUACCAAGGCAGUGAUACGUAGCCGACUUGAGAGGGUGAUCGGCCACACUGGGACUGAGACACGGCCCAGACUCCUACGGGAGGCAGCAGUAGGGAAUCUUCCACAAUGGGUGCAAACCUGAUGGAGCAAUGCCGCGUGAGUGAAGAAGGUCUUCGGAUCGUAAAGCUCUGUUGUUAGAGAAGAACACGUGCUAGGUAACUACUAGCGCCUUGACGGUAUCUAACCAGAAAGUCACGGCUAACUACGUGCCAGCAGCCGCGGUAAUACGUAGGUGACAAGCGUUGUCCGGAUUUAUUGGGCGUAAAGGGAGCGCAGGCGGUCUGUUUAGUCUAAUGUGAAAGCCCACGGCUUAACCGUGGAACGGCAUUGGAAACUGACAGACUUGAAUGUAGAAGAGGAAAAUGGAAUUCCAAGUGUAGCGGUGGAAUGCGUAGAUAUUUGGAGGAACACCAGUGGCGAAGGCGAUUUUCUGGUCUAACAUUGACGCUGAGGCUC
rnacentral:rRNA from 1 species